GAUGCCCUGGCAGUCAGAGGCGAUGAAGGGCGUGCUAAUCUGCGAUAAGCGCCGGUAAGGUGAUAUGAACCGUUAUAACCGGCGAUACCCGAAUGGGGAAACCCAGUGUGACUCGUCACACUAUCAUUAACUGAAUCCAUAGGUUAAUGAGGCGAACCGGGGGAACUGAAACAUCUAAGUACCCCGAGGAAAAGAAAUCAACCGAGAUUCCCCCAGUAGCGGCGAGCGAACGGGGAGGAGCCCAGAGCCUGAAUCAGCAUGUGUGUUAGUGGAAGCGUCUGGAAAGGCGCGCGAUACAGGGUGACAGCCCCGUACACAAAAGCGCAUGUGCUGUGAGCUCGAUGAGUAGGGCGGGACACGUGGUAUCCUGUCUGAAUAUGGGGGGACCAUCCUCCAAGGCUAAAUACUCCUGACUGACCGAUAGUGAACCAGUACCGUGAGGGAAAGGCGAAAAGAACCCCGGCGAGGGGAGUGAAAAAGAACCUGAAACCGUGUACGUACAAGCAGUGGGAGCACCCUUUGGGUGUGACUGCGUACCUUUUGUAUAAUG
rnacentral:rRNA from 1 species